rnacentral:rRNA from 1 species
UACCAGCACCCCGAGUGGUCGGGACGAUUAUUGGGCCUAAAGCAUCCGUAGCCGGUUCUGCAAGUCCCCCGUUAAAUCCAGCUGCUCAACAGAUGGGCCGCGGAGGAUACUACAGAGCUAGGAGGCGGGAGAGGCAAGCGGUACUCAGUGGGUAGGGGUAAAAUCCUCUGAUCCAUUGAAGACCACCAGUGGCGAAGGCGGCUUGCCAGAACGCGCUCGACGGUGAGGGAUGAAAGCUGGGGGAGCAAACCGG